GUUGAAAAUGAUGUCUUUUGUCCACUG
rnacentral:piRNA from 1 species